CAGCCGUAAACUAUGCGCGUUAGGUGUAUCGGUGACCACGAGUUACCGAGGUGCCGAAGGGAAACCGUGAAACGUGCCGCCCGGGAAGUACGGUCGCAAGGCUGAAACUUAAAGGAAUUGGCGGGGGAGCACCACAACAGGUGGAGCCUGCGGUUUAAUUGGACUCAACGCCGGGAAGCUCACCGGAUAGGACAGCAGAAUGAUUGCCGGGCUGAAGACCCUGCAUGACUAGCUGAGAGGUGGUGCAUGGCGUCAGUGACU
rnacentral:rRNA from 1 species